CAGGGAGACAACAAAAUGUUUAAUAUUAUUAUUUUGUCACCUUAGGUCGAUCGGUAUCUCACGUUCUUAAUUUGUUAAGAAUUUCAUUUCCUAAGUUUUUCUAGGUCACACCCAUUAUUUUUCCUGGGCCAUUAGCUCAGGUGGUUAGAGCGCACCCCUGAUAAGGGUGAGGUCCCUGGUUCAAGUCCAGGAUGGCCCAUAUCUCUAUGUUGGGGGUAUAGCUCAGUUGGUAGAGCGCCUGCUUUGCAAGCAGGAUGUCAGCGGUUCGAGUCCGCUUACCUCCACUGAUUACCACCUCUUCCAUAACCGGUAGAAAGGAAAUGUUUUGGGUUGUGAUCAUUAAUCUGAACGAAUCUAGCUUCCUAAUGAAAUCAUUAAGAUGCUGGACUCAUUGAAUUAAUUUCAUUGUUUUCAGAGAACCUUGACAACUGCAUAGAUUAUUUUUAAAGACAAAAAGCAUCUUUAAUGAUGCAGAUUUAUUAUUUGUGCGAAUGCAUUAAUAACAAUUCUAUUAAGCUGAUGCUUCAAUUUUUGAAGUUAUU
rnacentral:tRNA from 1 species